rnacentral:rRNA from 1 species
UAUGUGAUCGUCUCUCGCAUAUCAAUAAGCGGAGGAAAAGAAACUAACAAGGAUUCCCCUAGUAACGGCGAGUGAAGCGGGAAGAGCUCAAAUUUGAAAUCUUAAAGGGUUUCCCUUUACGAAUUGUAGUUUAAAGAAGUGUUUUCUGUUGAGGUUUUAGGUAAAAGUUCUUUGGAAUAGGACAUCAUAGAGGGUGAGAAUCCCGUAUUUGACCUUUACUUUCAACUUUGUGAUACACUUUCAAAGAGUCGGAUUGUUUGGGAAUGCAGUCCAAAAUGGGUGGUAAAUUUCAUCUAAAGCUAAAUAUUGGCGAGAGACCGAUAGCGAACAAGUACCGUGAGGGAAAGAUGAAAAGAACUUUGAAAAGAGAGUUAAACAGUACGUGAAAUUGUCAAAAGGGAAGCGUUUGACACCAGUGUUGUUUUUCUGAAAAUCAAUUAAAGAACUGUUUAUGCUAAGUUGUUUAGACUUUAUCAGCUAUCUGUUUAGUUUUGAGCUUUUCUUUAAUGCACUUUUCAGUUAACAAGUCAACAUCAAUUUCUUUUGCUGUAAAAAAGCUUGAGGAAGGUGGCUUGAGAUUCGUCUUAAGUGUUUAUAGCCUCUUGCCUAUGCAGUCGGAGAGAUUGAGGUCUGCAGCGUAGAUCCUUCGGGGCUAAAUGCAUUUGUGCUAAGUUAUAGCAUUUUAUAGACAACUUGUUGACUAUGAUUUGUCUUGUAGCUUACUCGCUUAUGUUAUUUUACCUACGCUUAGGAUGUUGAGUAGCGACAUACGCAC